UACGGAGGGGGCUAGCGUUGUUCGGAAUUACUGGACGUAAAGCGCACGUAGGCGGCUUUGUAAGUUAGAGGUGAAAGCCUGUGGCUCAACCACAGAAUUGCCUUCGAUACUGUAGAGCUUGAGACCGGAAGAGGUAAGUGGAACUGCGAGUGUAGAGGUGAAAUUCGUAGAUAUUCGCAAGAACACCAGUGGCGAAGGCGGCUUACUGGUCCGGUUCUGACGCUGAGGCGCGAAAGCGUGGGGAGCAAACAGG
rnacentral:rRNA from 1 species